UACGGAGGGAGCUAGCGUUGUUCGGAAUUACUGGGCGUAAAGCGCGCGUAGGCGGCCUUGUAAGCUAGAGGUGAAAGCCCGAAGCUCAACUCCGGAACUGCCUUUAAAACUGCAUCGCUUGAAUCCAGGAGAGGUGAGUGGAAUUCCGAGUGUAGAGGUGAAAUUCGUAGAUAUUCGGAAGAACACCAGUGGCGAAGGCGGCUCACUGGACUGGUAUUGACGCUGAGGUGCGAAAGCGUGGGGAGCAAACAGG
rnacentral:rRNA from 1 species